rnacentral:rRNA from 1 species
CUACGGGUGGCUGCAGUGAGGAAUUUUGCGCAAUGGGGGAAACCCUGACGCAGCAACGCCGCGUGAGCGAAGAAGGCCCUCGGGUCGUAAAGCUCUGUCAAGUGGGAAAAAAAUCCUUUGAUCAAUAGUCAAAGGACUUGAUGGUACCACUGGAGGAAGCACUGGCUAACUCCGUGCCAGCAGCCGCGGUGAAUACGGAGGGUGCAAGCGUUGUGCGGAUUUACUGGGCGUAAAGAGCGUGUAGGCGGUUUAGCAAGUCAGAUGUGUAAGCCCUGGGCUCAACCCGGGAAGUGCAUUUGAAACUGCUUCACUAGAGUAUGGGAGAGGAGAUUGGAAUUCCUGGUGUAGAGGUGAAAUUCGUAGAUAUCAGGAGGAACACCCGUGGCGAAGGCGAUUCUCUGGACCAAUACUGACGCUGAGACGCGAAAGCGUGGGGAGCAAACAGGAUUAGAUACCCCCGUAGUC